rfam:Auxenochlorella protothecoides strain 0710 contig1000, whole genome shotgun sequence.
GGGGCUGUAGUUCAAUUGGCUCAGAGCGCCGCCCUGUCACGGCGGAGGUUGCGGGUUCGAAGCCCGUCAGUCCCG